GAUGCAUACUUGCAAAAACAGAAUAUUCAAGGAUAUAAUCUUUCAAUGUAGGGUAAUAACUGCUUGAUCCAAGGAUAAAUAUGACUGCCAUUCUGGGGUCAAGAAGGAAUUUUUUUCCUAGCUUGUUGCAAAAUUGUGCUUCAAACUGGGUUUUUUGCCUUCUUUUGGAUCAACAGCAAAAAACAAAUGUGAGGAAGGCUGAACUUGAUGGACGCAAGUCUCUUUUCAGCUAUGUAACUA